rnacentral:rRNA from 1 species
GACGAACGCUGGCGGCGUGCCUAACACAUGCAAGUCGAACGAAGAAUGUUUUUCGGAAUAUUCUUAGUGGCGGACGGGUGAGUAACGCGUGAACAAUCUGCCCCGUACAAAGGGAUAGCCUCGGGAAACCGGGAUUAAAACCAUAUAACACUUAACUGCCGCAUGGUAGUGAAGUCAAAUCGAUUAAGAGGUAUGGGAUGAGUUCGCGUCUGAUUAGCUAGUUGGUGAGGUAAGGGCUCACCAAGGCGACGAUCAGUAGCCGGCCUGAGAGGGUGAACGGCCACACUGGAACUGAGACACGGUCCAGACUCCUACGGGAGGCAGCAGUGGGGAAUAUUGCACAAUGGAGGGAACUCUGAUGCAGCGACGCCGCGUGAGUGAAGAAGGUCUUCGGAUCGUAAAACUCUGUCCUUGGUGAAGAAAAGGACGGUAGCCAAGGAGGAAGCCCGGCUAACUACGUGCCAGCAGCCGCGGUAAAAGUGUGUGGUA